GACAGUGGUUGACUGUGGGUAACUGAAACCAUGGGACAUAAAACCAUGAAAGUGAAACUGGAUAAGGAAGACUUCUGUACAUUUUUUUCUCCUCACUACUAGAAAAAAAUCUUUCCCAUCACAUUUUGAAGACCAGACUCCUAGGAGUGAGCUGGCCAACCUCUGAGUAAAUGAGAGAUAAGAAGGAUAUCAUGAAAGGAGAAGAAAUGGACCAGGAAAGACCAUCUGUUUUCUUAAGGAUAUCAAAGUCAUGUGAGACAGCAAAAUAUUUGACAAUCCUGGAGUUACCAAGUUAAUGUUAAAUUUCCUCAGCGGAUUCUUUUAAAGAAGGUUUCCUCUUCUUCUGCAACAUGAAUAUUCUCACUUUUUUUUUUUUGAGUGUGGCUCUGUACUUUUUAGUAUUUUUUUUUUUUAAUUUCUAUUUUGGUGUGGAAGAAGAGAGAGCUGAGUAACGAUUCCUUCACCUUGACCCAAGCAUCUUGUUCUCUCUGUGCAUUGUCAAGUCAUUAAGUUAUUGUGCAGCUUUUAUCCAAAGGAUGGAGAUGGAUGGAUGGAUUCCUAUCAUUUCAGAACUUUCACAGAAAAAUCUAUUCUAUAAUUUGAUGCUGACCAAGAUAAAAUAGUGAACUAAAUCUUAAUAGGUAGGAAAAAGAGUCACUUUCUGGAAGAAUAGACGUCCCGGAGAUCUUAGAGAAACAGAAAUAAUUCUACAUUUGUCCUGACAUAUCAGACAGAAAAUCUCCAGUUCCUUGCAUCUCUAAAGAACAUAAAAAUGAUCAGCUUUAUGGUCUCUCUCAGGGUGCAGCAAGCGGAAGUCCAAUAUUUGCACUUGAUAUUGCCACACUAGGCUACUUGGUAUAGAUUGGUUUUAAAGAUUUACCAUUUGACCUGUAAGAACAAAGUCACUGUGUAAUCAUUUAAAAAACAGUGUUUCCUGAGAUGCUUAUACUGAGCCUGGUGGUACUUCAGACUAUUAUAGUUCUAGCUUGAUGAAAAAUGGCAUAUGGACAAGUCUCCAUACUCCUUAUCUUUUGACCCAAAGUUUGGUCCACCACAACAAGCAGGGUUUAUUGACAUAGUAAUCCACGCAAGUUGCAUGAGCCUGCAUUUUGACUAAGUAUCAGCUAAUUUUUUCUAAAUCCUUUUCCUACAAAAGCCUGCAACAAACCAAUCACAAAAUUUUACUUUGUGGUAUCUUAAGAGUUCUCAUGUAGGCUACGCUUUCACACCUAAGUUGCUUUAACAUGACAACAGUAUGACAGGGUGAAGAAACACUGUGGGAGUUGUUAACUGUCUUAUAGUAUAAA